rfam:Oryza sativa (indica cultivar-group) chromosome 7, whole genome shotgun sequence.
AAAAAGACAAAUCCUGAUUUCCGUGUCCAACGUUUGACCGUCCGUCUUAUUUAAAAAAAUUAUGAAAAAAAAAUAAAAAGACAAGUCACGCAUAAAAUAUUAAUCAUGUUUUAUCAUCUAACAAUAAUGAAAAUACGAAUUAUAAAAAAAUUUCAUAUAAGACGAACAGUCAAAAUUAGACACGAAAAUUCAGAAUUUGCUUUUUU